rnacentral:rRNA from 1 species
UACGUAGGUGACAAGCGUUGUCCGGAAUUAUUGGGCGUAAAGAGCGUGUAGGCGGUCCGGUAAGUCAGCUGUGAAAGUCAAGGGCUCAACCCUUGAAAGCCGGUUGAUACUGUCGGGCUUGAAUCCGGGAGAGGGAUGUGGAAUCCAGGUGUAGCGGUGGAAAUGCGGUAGAUAUCUGGAGGAACACCGGUGGCGAAGGCGGCAUCCUGGACCGAUACUGACGCUGAGGAGCGAAAGCCAGGGGAGCAAAGCGG